GUGCCAGCAGCCGCGGUAAUACGUAGGUCCCGAGCGUUGUCCGGAUUUAUUGGGCGUAAAGCGAGCGCAGGUGGUUUAAUAAGUCUGAUGUAAAAGGCAGUGGCUCAACCAUUGUGUGCAUUGGAAACUGUUAGACUUGAGUGCAGUAGAGGAGAGUGGAAUUCCAUGUGUAGCGGUGAAAUGCGUAGAUAUAUGGAGGAACACCGGUGGCGAAAGCGGCUCUCUGGACUGUAACUGACACUGAGGCUCGAAAGCGUGGGUAGCAAACAGGAUUAGAUACCCUGGUAGUCCACGCCGUAAACGAUGAGUGCUAGUUGCUUGGGGCUAUCCAGCCCUAAGUGACGCAGCAAACGCAUUAAGCACUCCGCCUGGGGAGUACGACCGCAAGGUUGAAACUCAAAGGAAUUGACGGGGGCCCGCACAAGCGGUGGAGCAUGUGGUUUAAUUCGAAGCAACGCGAAGUACCUUACCAGGUCUUGACAUACCAGUGCUAUUCUUAGAGAUAAGAAGUUACUUCGGUACACUGGAUACAGGUGGUGCAUGGUUGUCGUCAGCUCGUGUCGUGAGAUGUUGGGUUAGGUCCCGCAACGAGCGCAACCCCUAUUGUUAGUUGCCAUCAUUAAGUUGGGCACUCUAGCGAGACUGCCGGUAAUAAACCGGAGGAAGGUGGGGAUGACGUCAAAUCAUCAUGCCCCUUAUGACCUGGGCUACACACGUGCUACAAUGGUUGGUACAACGAGUCGCAAGCUAGUGAUAGCAAGCUAAUCUCUUAAAGCCAAUCUCAGUUCGGAUUGUAGGCUGCAACUCGCCUACAUGAAGUCGGAAUCGCUAGUAAUCGCGGAUCAGCACGCCGCGGUGAAUACGUUCCCGGGCCUUGUACACACCGCCCU
rnacentral:rRNA from 1 species